rnacentral:lncRNA from 1 species
AGAGUAGUCUUAGUGAGGAAUCAUAGAAUUUUUGAGGUUGAGACAAUGUGGACCACCAUUCUAGGGUUAACAGUUUAACCUUAAGUCAUCCUUUAGCAUCGAGAGUCAAAGGGAUGAAUUAUAUAGUAACUAUAUCUAUAUAAGUUCUAAAGUAUUGCUGAGCAUACAUUCGGCUUAUCCAGACGUUAGAUCCCAUUGCUAGAUGGUUAUAUCGAUUGGUACAUAAAUUAUUCUUGUGCUACCAGUUU